rnacentral:sRNA from 1 species
UUACCAGCAAAAUACAUAUAAUAUUUUUUUAUUUGUUUUUAAAGAUUUUAGAUAAUGAAACAUUUCAUGUGUUAUAAACACGUUAUCCGUGAUAGCUCUCUUAGUAACAAAUGUAGGUAAUAUACACGGUUAUAACGGUUAUAACAGUGAAUAAUGAUAACGAUAAUGGUGACUUGGUAGUGGACAUGACUGUGUAAUAAUAUAGGUGAUAGCUGUUAGAAUAGAAUAGAAAUACAAGAAAAAAA